CCUUGACAAUCUUUGCUUUCUCAAAUAUGAACUUCCCUUCCUUGUAUCUCUGCGACUCCUCAUAAGCCCUCUCAUAUUUCCACCCUAGCACCUCACGGCAAUCACGGCAGUAGAUAUCAGCGACGGUGUGAAGGCCUGUCAUGAGUUGCCUAUCCUCCUUAGGCCCCACAGCUAUGUUCAUGGCAUGGGAAUACAGAAAUGCACGGCCGUACCUUCCCUAGAACAGUCAGAAGAGCAAAAGGGAGAGACAAUAUCAUCCUUCAAAGACAAUGAGACAAACCAAAAAAAAAAAAACUCUAUCCAACUACAGCUUGUUCUUCAUCUAAAUGAAUCGCCACUGUUGUCGCAACAAACAACUACACUCAUGUUAAAAUGCAUUCAUGGUUUGUCAAUUUCUGUAGACUGUACCAGAGCAAUCUCUGAUGUAGUAACUCUGCACAGAGACGAAUUCAGGUCUCACUAGGAAAUACAGCAACCAAUGAAAAUCACUGUUGGAAAGGAAGGGUUGUUACUAGGAAAUAUGAAUGCAGCAAGUAAACAGGCUUUCUCAGGUUGCUGCCGAGCUUCUUCAAUUCUACCGCAGCCAAACUACUAGUGUUGUCAUUAAUGGACUAAUUAAGGAAAUUCUUUACUGUUUACUCGCUGACUCAUGGCAGCUAAAUUAUUGGAUGUCACAAACAAUGCGCCCAAAACUACUUUUUUUUUGGCGAGGACGCCCAACACUACUGUUACUGUCUCGCAAAAAAAACAAGCAAAAAAAAAAAGAACACUACUGUUACUGAAGAACUAGGCCCAUGGUUAGGAAGGAAUCUGAAAUCCCCCACCCCCAAGAACUGAGACGGAGCUCGGCAGCUCUUCACCUGAAAGGCCUUGGAAAUAAUGUCGUCGUGGAGGCAGACGUGGUUCCGGCAAUGGCAGCAGCUGUACACUCGCGGCCCCACCAAGUCCACCAUCGUCGGCGCCCUUCCCUCCCCUGCAUCCAAUCCACG
rnacentral:lncRNA from 1 species